rnacentral:lncRNA from 1 species
UUUGUUCUUUAUGAGAGACAUCUUUAGACUCAUCAACUAAUAUUCCAAAGUAAUCUCUAUUUAACUCUUCAACAAUUGCUUUCAACGUUUCUUUAGUACAACAAUUCACAAUGUCUUUUUGAACAUUUGGACAAAUCAUGAUAUCAUUUUGUGGAGCAUUUUCUAACACAACUUUUUUCACAUCUUCCUUCGUAUCCGCGUACCACUUUAAGAGAUCUAAAAAGUUUCCUCUUCUUGUAGAAGUUUCACU